rnacentral:rRNA from 1 species
CCUACGGGUGGCUGCAGUGGGGAAUAUUGGACAAUGGGGGCAACCCUGAUCCAGCCAUGCCGCGUGUGUGAAGAAGGCCCUCGGGUUGUAAAGCACUUUCAGUGAGGAAGAACGCCUGGUGGUUAAUACCCAUCAGGAAAGACAUCACUCACAGAAGAAGCACCGGCUAACUCCGUGCCAGCAGCCGCGGUAAUACGGAGGGUGCGAGCGUUAAUCGGAAUUACUGGGCGUAAAGCGCGCGUAGGUGGCUUGAUAAGCCGGUUGUGAAAGCCCCGGGCUCAACCUGGGAACGGCAUCCGGAACUGUCAAGCUAGAGUGCAGGAGAGGAAGGUAAAAUUCCCGGUGUAGCGGUGAAAUGCGUAGAGAUCGGGAGGAAUACCAGUGGCGAAGGCGGCCUUCUGGACUGACACUGACACUGAGGUGCGAAAGCGUGGGUAGCAAACAGGAUUAGAUACCCUUGUAGUC